rnacentral:sRNA from 1 species
AGCUACCGUGCGCUGGAU